AUUGAACGCUGGCGGAAUGCUUUACACAUGCAAGUCGAACGGCAGCACGGGGGCAGCCCUGGUGGCGAGUGGCGAACGGGUGAGUAAUACAUCGGAACGUGCCCGGUCGUGGGGGAUAACGUAGCGAAAGUUACGCUAAUACCGCAUACGAUCUGAGGAUGAAAGCGGGGGACCUUCGUGCCUUGCGCGUACGGAGCGGCCGAUGUCAGAUGGGGUAGUUGGUGGGUUAAAGGCCUACCAAGCCGACGAUCUGUAGCUGGUCUGAGAGGACGACCAGCCACACUGAGACUGAGACACGGCCCAGACUCCUACGGGAGGCAGCAGUGGGGAAUUUUGGACAAUGGGCGCAAGCCUGAUCCAGCCAUUCCGCGUGGAGGAAGAAGGCCUUCGGGUUGUAAACUGCUUUUGUACGGAACGAAAAGGCUCUGGCUAAUACCUGGGGCUCAUGACGGUACCGUAAGAAUAAGCACCGGCUAACUACGUG
rnacentral:rRNA from 1 species